CAAUAUCGCUCCACUGUGCUGUGCAACUCUCCACCAAAAUGUGGGCCUGAUUCGCCUGGCCUAGACCCUUACACAAUCACUUGUGCAAGGUGCAUGUGAAGCACAACCAUUCUGAGCAGAUAGUGUUUUACACCCAUUUUGCACAAGUGUAUGUGAUGAUACAAGGUGUAGGGCAAUGAGGCACCAGGCCCUGGUUGUCUGAUACAUGAGGAGUUGAAGGAAAGUAUAACCCAUGUGGUUUAUACACAAAGGUGGAGCUGAAAAAGCUGGAGAACGAGGCGGCAGAGAAGAAGAGACAGCAUGAGGACCGGGAAAGAGAACGACAGCACAAAGAACGCAUGCACCAGAGAGAGCUUGAAGACAAGGCCAAAGAAAGAGAGGUCCGGCGCCAGAUGCAAGAGAGAGUAUGAGGAGCAAGAAAAGAAGAGGAAGCACAAGGAGAUCAUCACGCAGCUGCAGAACAGAAACCUGGAAUUGCACAUUCUCCGCCUAACUGGUCUCUCAUCCAGUAAGAAUUCCCCACAGUACAGUCUUCUCCAAGAUGCUCUCUCAGCCCUCAUAUGCCCCACUAUGCCUGAUGCUGUUGAGAAUGGUGAUGACAGCAGUGACGUUAAUGAUGAUGUUGAUGACAUGGGUUCUCUGUACUGAACUAUACACUGUUCUAACCCUUCUGAAUGGAGGGAUUCCCAGCUGUGAUGCCCAGUGUACUGUCACCUAACCGGCCCAGCACCAAGGACGUCGUCCAUUUCUCCUCUCACCUUCCCUUCCCUUUUGCACUAGUGGAAUGCUUUUCCCACCCAGGGGUUUAUUUCUGACUUUUCUGAGUCCUAGUUAUUGGCAGUGCUAAAGACAUAAACAACAGGAUGUUGCGAGUGCUUCUGAUGGGCCCAAUCCUGCUCCCUGGAUGUCAAUGGCACAACUCUGAUGUUGGGAGGAGGAACUGGCCUGUUGUGCUUAUUCCGGCCAGACAUUAGCCCCUCCACACUCAAGACUCAUAGUGUUUAAGGCCAGAAGGCCACGUUGGGUAAUCGAGUCUGGCCUCCGUCAUAAGCCAGGCAGGAAUCUCACCUCGUGAUUCCUGCAUUGAGAUGAUAGUGUCAGGCUGAGCUUGAGUAGAUCGUUUAGAAACACACCUAGUCAUCCUUUAGAGCCUGCCAGGACAUCCCUGGUAAGAGGUUCUAAUGGCUAACUGCCCUCAUGUUUCAACAUUCGCCCCUUAUUGCCAGUCUGAAUUUGUCCAGCUUCAGAUUCCAGACAUUGGCUCUUGUUCUGCCUUUGUUAGAUCAAUGAGCCUUCUCCGAGCAGAAAUCUUCUUCUCUAGGUACCUGUAAGGCCGUGAUCAAGUCAUCUCUUUGACUUCAGAUGUUGAGUCUACUUCGUUUCCCAAGAGGAAACAAAGGCAGCAUUUGCAACUAUUGACUCAUUCUUUCAAGUCUUUGCUGACCCCUUCCCAAUUUUUCUAACCGCCGUUUUGAGGUUUGGACACCAGACUUGGUCUCUCCAAUGCUGCAGAGGUCAUGCUAACGCCCCACUCCUGGGAGCCAUCCAUCGUGAGCCCAGUUCUCCAAUCUCCUAACCUACAACUUCGUCAAAACUUUAACUAACCCAGCUGAGUGUCCACAUUCAUAAGUGCCCUGCAUCAAGGGAAUCAGAGCCUUCCCAAAAUUGGGGGGCUGGGAGCCCUCACCCCGCUCCUCCUCUUCCCCUGGAGGCCCAGCUCCUAGCCAAGCUGAAAGCCAGAGGAGGGCCGGGGAGUCCAUCCAGCACCACCCCGCCCCCCCAACCCCCAAGUGGGCCAAAAGCAGCCCCUAUCUGUGUCCCUGCUCCCCAGGGCAGGUGGAGGGACCCAGGCUCCACACAGCUGCCUGGCUAUCCCUGAUGCUGGCCUGGCUGGAGUGUGGGGGCCUAAGGGUGGGGGCAGGGGCCACCCAUCCACUUUCAAAAAGUGGGAGAACUAUGGACCCCCUAGCCCCCCCAAAGUUCCAGCACCACUUUCCUGCAUCACAGUAAUAGGGCUAGCUGUGCCUCUGUCCCCUUCUGGCUUCACCGAGUGCACCCCUCUGGUGCCAGGCCUGUCACUAUCUAUGCAGGGAGAGAAUCAAUUGAGUCUUCCGUUCUUAGACCAGUCCCUGAGCUACAGCACCUGGCAAAUCACCUGUGCUUAUGCAGCAGGUCUGCCUGAGUCCAGUCCCUGUGGUUCUUCCCUUCAGGCAUUGCUGAGCAGCGGCACAGGGAGCAGCCAGCCUAGUGAACCAAAGGCGGGUUUAUUUGGACAGCAGGAACAAAGCAGGGUGUGAACAAGGCUCGUAAAAUAGCUGUUUAAGUCCAGGGCUCACCNCUGUCACUAUCUAUGCAGGGAGAGAAUCAAUUGAGUCUUCCAUUCUUAGACCAGUCCCUGAGCUACAGCACCUGGCAAAUCACCUGUGCUUAUGCAGCAGGUCUGCCUGAGUCCAGUCCCUGUGGUUCUUCCCUUCAGGCAUUGCUGAGCAGCGGCACAGGGAGCAGCCAGCCUAGUGAACCAAAGGCGGGUUUAUUUGGACAGCAGGAACAAAGCAGGGUGUGAACAAGGCUCGUAAAAUAGCUGUUUAAGUCCAGGGCUCACCACCCUCAGGAUAGCUGCAGCAGGCCUAGCUUCUUCAGACAUGCUCAGUGGACGUGUCUUCAGACAAGUGCACGUGUCUCCGCUUAGGUCCCCUCAAACAACCCCACCCCCGGAAUGAGUCCAUUUUAAACCCUACUCCAGGUCUUCAUGUUCCGGGGCCUUUUCGGGCCCUGGCCUUGUUGCUCAGCACCCUCAAGCCCUGAGCAAUGGCUGUGCUAGAGCCAUUCUUUCCCUUCCUGCUUGUUUUUGCCAGAAAAGCCUGGGCAGGAGAGGGGCAAGCAAGCAUGUUUAAGUGGGGGGGUGGGGGGAGUAAGUGGUGGGUGUACUAGGGAGUGGAGAGGAGCUAGUGGGCAGGGCCAUGUCUGCUGUACUGCCCAGGUAGGUUGGAGACUGGGGGAUCAGUCGAGACAGUAUCCCCAGCCCAGGUGACAUGACAGCCAGUGGUGGAUUUAGAGUUAAUGUGGCCCCCCAGCCCUGUGUUCAGCUUCAUUUUUGGGGCUCCUCCUUGGGACCCAGCCAAGGAAAAGAACAUUCUCUCUUAUCUCCCCCUGCCCAUUUUUCAUGCAUUUUUUUUUCCUCCUCCUCCUAUAAGUAAUAGCAAGUAAAUGAAAAUAAAGUGAGGUACCUUGAUUGUUCUUGAGUCA
rnacentral:lncRNA from 1 species